UCUAUCUAGAAACAUCUUCCAAUAAUUCUACUUUGUUACGACUUAUCUUACUUUAAUAAUAAGAGCGACGGGCGAUAUGUACAUAUUUUAGAGCUAUAAUCAAUUUAACAUUCUUAUUAAAUUUACUAUCAAAUCCACCUUCAUAAAAUUUUUCCAAUUUUUAAUCCAUUGUAAUUAUAUAUUAUUGUAAUUCAUUUUUUCUUAAAUAUAAACUGCACCUUGAUUUGACAUAAAAUUUUAAAAUAAUUUAAGAAAAUUAUUUUUCUUAUAAAAUAUUCUAAUGACAACGAUAUACAAAUUUAAUAAAAUAAGUAAAAUAUAACGGGGAUUAUCAAUUAUAAAACAAAUUCCUCUGAAUAGACUAAAAUACCGCCAAAUUAUUUUAAUUUCAUAAAUAUAUUUAAUACUAAUCUAAAAAAUUUUCUUAUAUUUUAAUAAUAGGGUAUCUAAUCCUAGUUUUAUCAUAAAAUUUAUAAGAUUAACAUCAAAAUUAAUUAAAUUUUUUAUUAUAUUAAAAUUUCACUUAAUAAUAUAAAUUAAAAUUUAAAUUUAUUAAAAUCAUUUAACUUUUUUUAAUAUAAUUUAUUUAUAUAUUUUGUAUAACCGCGAUUGCUGGCACAAAAUAAAUCUAUAUUAAAUUAAAUUACUAAAUCACAAUUUCUUAAAUUAAUAAUAUUAAUUACUGCAAUUAAAUUAUUUUAUUUUUUAAAUUAUAUUUUUUCAUACAAAAAUUUACAUAUAAAAUAUUUAAUUAAUAAAUCUUAUUACCAUAAUAAAAUAUCUU
rnacentral:rRNA from 1 species